AUUAUGGAAGGUAUCCAUUACUUCCUCAUCUUUGGUGCUUACGAUUAUAUAUGGUUUGAAUAGAUAUACAUCUAAAGUUCCCUGUAUCUUUGAAUUCUCUCUCCACACUCUGAUGAUAAGUUUUAAGCGACUUGUUAGAUUCAGAUUUGCUUGGGUUGCAGUCAAAACUCCACUAUAAGCAAAUUAUGGCAAGACGAAGGUCACCAAUCGACCCCUUGCUGGGACGAUUAGGAGAGGGAAGACGCCCAAGGAAGAUUAUAUGUUGGAAAAGCAGUUUUUUAAGGAUGAAAAACAAUGUUAUACACUGAAUGUCCUUUCAUAGUUCCCAGGCGGAGGUUUGAUAUAUGGGGUUGCAUUGGCUACCAAGUUUAUCAACCCUACUAUUCGAGUUUUGGUUGCUGAACCAAUGGAAGCACCUACUUGCUUGGAUUUUGUAUCGUGGAAAAUGAGGUGGUAUUUUUGACAAGUGCAGAUUGAAACUCAAUUGCUAGGAAAUUGAUUAUUUUUUUUUUGUAAAUGGAUUUACUUCCUAUUUUGGCACAUUGAUCAAUCAUGAAUUCUUGAAUUGUAAAAAUAUUUUAAGUCUUUUGAUAUGUUUAAUGUGGUAU